rnacentral:rRNA from 1 species
CCUACGGGAUGCAGCAGUGAGGAAUAUUGGUCAAUGGACGCAAGUCUGAACCAGCCAUGCCGCGUGCAGGAAGACGGCUCUAUGAGUUGUAAACUGCUUUUGUACGAGGGUAAAUCCCGAUACGUGUAUCGGGUUGAAAGUAUCGUACGAAUAAGGAUCGGCUAACUCCGUGCCAGCAGCCGCGGUAAUACGGAGGAUUCAAGCGUUAUCCGGAUUUAUUGGGGUUAAAGGGUGCGUAGGCGGUUCGAUAAGUUAGAGGUGAAAGCCCGGGGCUCAACUCCGGCACUGCCUCUGAUACUGUCGGGCUAGAGUUUAGUUGCGGUAGGCGGAAUGUAUGGCGUAGCGGUGAAAUGCAUAGAGAUCAUACAGAACACCGAUUGCGAAGGCAGCUUACCAAACUACGACUGACGUUGAGGCACGAAAGCGUGGGGAGCAAACAGGAUUAGAUACCCCUGUAGUC